UACAGAGGGGGCAAGCGUUGUUCGGAAUUACUGGGCGUAAAGGGCGCGUAGGCGGCCCGCUAAGUCGAACGUGAAAUCCCCGGGCUCAACCCGGGAACUGCGUCCGAUACUGGUGGGCUUGAAUCCGGGAGAGGGAUGCGGAAUUCCAGGUGUAGCGGUGAAAUGCGUAGAUAUCUGGAGGAACACCGGUAGCGAAGGCGGCAUCCUGGACCGGUAUUGACGCUGAGGCGCGAAAGCCAGGGGAGCAAACGGG
rnacentral:rRNA from 1 species